rnacentral:rRNA from 1 species
GAGCGUCUACCUUCGGGUAGAAGCGGCGAACGGCUGAGGAACACGUUGGAACCUGCCCCGAACUCAGGGAUAACCUCGCGAAAGCGGGAUUAAUACCGGAUGCCCUCGUAAGAGGAAAGAUUUAUCGGUUCGGGAGGGGCCUGCGGCCUAUCAGUUUGUUGGUAAGGUAAAAGCUUACCAAGACUAUGACGGGUAACUGGUCUGAGAGGACGACCAGUCAGAAUGGGACUGAGACACGGCCCAUACUCC